AAAGUACUCCAUCCAUCCCAAAAUUCUUGUCCUAGAUUUAUCUAGAUCUGAAUGUAUCUAGUCAGGUUUAAUAUUUAGAUACACCCAUUUCUAGAUAAACCUAAGACAAAAAAUAUGGGACAAAGGGAGUACUUA
rfam:Hordeum vulgare subsp. vulgare, WGS project CAJW01000000 data, contig: morex_contig_146200